rnacentral:rRNA from 1 species
AGUACGUGAAACUGCUUAGAGGUUAAGCCCGAUGAACCUAAAUAUCCAUUAUGGAAAAUUCAUCACUAAUAAUAUAAUAUUUAUAAUAUUAUAUAAAUGGUGUGCAAUUUUUCCAUAUAAGGACAUUGUAAUCUGUUAAUGUAAUAAAUAUUUAUUAAAAGAUCUUAUACAUAAGUUUAUUCAAAUUAGUUAUUUUCGGAUUUCUAACAUAGAAUAAAUGUAUUUGAUUUAAUAAAUCAUUGACAGAUUUAAUUAUAAUAUAGUGCUUAAAUUUUGAAAGAAAUUUUACAAUAAUAUAAUAAUUCAUUUUAUUAUAUUUAUUGUAUGCGCUUAUAUGAUUAACAAUGCGAUAGAUUUAGGAUACCUUCGGGACCCGUCUUGAAACACGGACCAAGGAGUCUAACAUAUGUGCAAGUCAUUGGGUAUUUUUAAUAAAACUCAAUGGCAUAAUUAACUUAACUGUUUAUGGGAUUAGUUUAUAUUUUAUUAUGAAAUAUUAAUUCAAUCCCGGGGCGUUCUAUAUAGUUAUGUAUAAUAAUAUUUAUAUUAUUUAUGCCUCUAACU